GGUUAAGCGACUAAGCGUACACGGUGGAUGCCCUGGCAGUCAGAGGCGAUGAAGGACGUGCUAAUCUGCGAUAAGCGUCGGUAAGGUGAUAUGAACCGUUAUAACCGGCGAUUUCCGAAUGGGGAAACCCAGUGUGUUUCGACACACUAUCAUUAACUGAAUCCAUAGGUUAAUGAGGCGAACCGGGGGAACUGAAACAUCUAAGUACCCCGAGGAAAAGAAAUCAACCGAGAUUCCCCCAGUAGCGGCGAGCGAACGGGGAGCAGCCCAGAGCCUGAAUCAGUGUGUGUGUUAGUGGAAGCGUCUGGAAAGGCGCGCGAUACAGGGUGACAGCCCCGUACACAAAAAUGCACAUGCUGUGAGCUCGAUGAGUAGGGCGGGACACGUGGUAUCCUGUCUGAAUAUGGGGGGACCAUCCUCCAAGGCUAAAUACUCCUGACUGACCGAUAGUGAACCAGUACCGUGAGGGAAAGGCGAAAAGAACCCCGGCGAGGGGAGUGAAAAAGAACCUGAAACCGUGUACGUACAAGCAGUGGGAGCCUCUUUUAUGGGGUGACUGCGUACCUUUUGUAUAAUGGGUCAGCGACUUAUAUUCUGUAGCAAGGUUAACCGAAUAGGGGAGCCGAAGGGAAACCGAGUCUUAACUGGGCGUUAAGUUGCAGGGUAUAGACCCGAAACCCGGUGAUCUAGCCAUGGGCAGGUUGAAGGUUGGGUAACACUAACUGGAGGACCGAACCGACUAAUGUUGAAAAAUUAGCGGAUGACUUGUGGCUGGGGGUGAAAGGCCAAUCAAACCGGGAGAUAGCUGGUUCUCCCCGAAAGCUAUUUAGGUAGCGCCUCGUGAAUUCAUCUCCGGGGGUAGAGCACUGUUUCGGCAAGGGGGUCAUCCCGACUUACCAACCCGAUGCAAACUGCGAAUACCGGAGAAUGUUAUCACGGGAGACACACGGCGGGUGCUAACGUCCGUCGUGAAGAGGGAAACAACCCAGACCGCCAGCUAAGGUCCCAAAGUCAUGGUUAAGUGGGAAACGAUGUGGGAAGGCCCAGACAGCCAGGAUGUUGGCUUAGAAGCAGCCAUCAUUUAAAGAAAGCGUAAUAGCUCACUGGUCGAGUCGGCCUGCGCGGAAGAUGUAACGGGGCUAAACCAUGCACCGAAGCUGCGGCAGCGACACUAUGUGUUGUUGGGUAGGGGAGCGUUCUGUAAGCCUGUGAAGGUGUGCUGUGAGGCAUGCUGGAGGUAUCAGAAGUGCGAAUGCUGACAUAAGUAACGAUAAAGCGGGUGAAAAGCCCGCUCGCCGGAAGACCAAGGGUUCCUGUCCAACGUUAAUCGGGGCAGGGUGAGUCGACCCCUAAGGCGAGGCCGAAAGGCGUAGUCGAUGGGAAACAGGUUAAUAUUCCUGUACUUGGUGUUACUGCGAAGGGGGGACGGAGAAGGCUAUGUUGGCCGGGCGACGGUUGUCCCGGUUUAAGCGUGUAGGCUGGUUUUCCAGGCAAAUCCGGAAAAUCAAGGCUGAGGCGUGAUGACGAGGCACUACGGUGCUGAAGCAACAAAUGCCCUGCUUCCAGGAAAAGCCUCUAAGCAUCAGGUAACAUCAAAUCGUACCCCAAACCGACACAGGUGGUCAGGUAGAGAAUACCAAGGCGCUUGAGAGAACUCGGGUGAAGGAACUAGGCAAAAUGGUGCCGUAACUUCGGGAGAAGGCACGCUGAUAUGUAGGUGAAGUCCCUCGCGGAUGGAGCUGAAAUCAGUCGAAGAUACCAGCUGGCUGCAACUGUUUAUUAAAAACACAGCACUGUGCAAACACGAAAGUGGACGUAUACGGUGUGACGCCUGCCCGGUGCCGGAAGGUUAAUUGAUGGGGUCAGCGCAAGCGAAGCUCUUGAUCGAAGCCCCGGUAAACGGCGGCCGUAACUAUAACGGUCCUAAGGUAGCGAAAUUCCUUGUCGGGUAAGUUCCGACCUGCACGAAUGGCGUAAUGAUGGCCAGGCUGUCUCCACCCGAGACUCAGUGAAAUUGAACUCGCUGUGAAGAUGCAGUGUACCCGCGGCAAGACGGAAAGACCCCGUGAACCUUUACUAUAGCUUGACACUGAACAUUGAGCCUUGAUGUGUAGGAUAGGUGGGAGGCUUUGAAGUGUGGACGCCAGUCUGCAUGGAGCCGACCUUGAAAUACCACCCUUUAAUGUUUGAUGUUCUAACGUGGACCCGUGAUCCGGGUUGCGGACAGUGUCUGGUGGGUAGUUUGACUGGGGCGGUCUCCUCCUAAAGAGUAACGGAGGAGCACGAAGGUUGGCUAAUCCUGGUCGGACAUCAGGAGGUUAGUGCAAUGGCAUAAGCCAGCUUGACUGCGAGCGUGACGGCGCGAGCAGGUGCGAAAGCAGGUCAUAGUGAUCCGGUGGUUCUGAAUGGAAGGGCCAUCGCUCAACGGAUAAAAGGUACUCCGGGGAUAACAGGCUGAUACCGCCCAAGAGUUCAUAUCGACGGCGGUGUUUGGCACCUCGAUGUCGGCUCAUCACAUCCUGGGGCUGAAGUAGGUCCCAAGGGUAUGGCUGUUCGCCAUUUAAAGUGGUACGCGAGCUGGGUUUAGAACGUCGUGAGACAGUUCGGUCCCUAUCUGCCGUGGGCGCUGGAGAACUGAGGGGGGCUGCUCCUAGUACGAGAGGACCGGAGUGGACGCAUCACUGGUGUUCGGGUUGUCAUGCCAAUGGCACUGCCCGGUAGCUAAAUGCGGAAGAGAUAAGUGCUGAAAGCAUCUAAGCACGAAACUUGCCCCGAGAUGAGUUCUCCCUGACUCCUUGAGAGUCCUGAAGGAACGUUGAAGACGACGACGUUGAUAGGCCGGGUGUGUAAGCGCAGCGAUGCGUUGAGCUAACCGGUACUAAUGAACCGUGAGGCUUAACCUU
rnacentral:rRNA from 1 species